rnacentral:rRNA from 1 species
GAAGGGACCUAGCGUAGUUCGGAAUUACUGGGCUUAAAGAGUUCGUAGGUGGUUGAAAAAGUUGGUGGUGAAAUCCCAGAGCUUAACUCUGGAACUGCCAUCAAAACUUUUCAGCUAGAGUAUGAUAGAGGAAAGCAGAAUUUCUAGUGUAGAGGUGAAAUUCGUAGAUAUUAGAAAGAAUACCAAUUGCGAAGGCAGCUUUCUGGAUCAUUACUGACACUGAGGAACGAAAGCAUGGGUAGCGAAGAGGAUUAGAUACCCUCGUAGUCCAUGCCGUAAACGAUGUGUGUUAGACGUUGGAAAUUUAUUUUCAGUGUCGCAGCGAAAGCGAUAAACACACCGCCUGGGGAGUACGACCGCAAGGUUAAAACUCAAAUGAAUUGACGGGGACCCGCACAAGUAGUGGAGCAUGUGGUUUAAUUCGAAGAUACGCGCAGAACCUUACCAACACUUGACAUGUUCGUCGCGACUUUAAGAGAUUAGAGUUUUCGGUUCGGCCGGACGAAACACAGGUGCUGCAUGGCUGUCGUCAGCUCGUGUCGUGAGAUGUUGGGUUAAGUCCCGCAACGAGCGCAACCCUCAC